CUUUCCCUGUGUAAAGCAUCCCCACAGCAUGAAGCUGCCACCACCAUGUGUCACCAUGAGAUCUGGUCUUUGAUUUCCUUCAUAUGAUUAUGUUUGCAAGUAGGCCACAAGACCUAACUUUGGUCUCAUCUGACCAAAGUUGGUCACAUUCACUGUUUCCUCUACUUUGCAACACAUCCAUAAAUUUGUGUAGGGGCGACAGAGCUGUGGAUCUCUGCGCUUCCUCCAAUGUUACCAUGUGUUGCUUUACUUUUAGGGCUCUUUCUUAUCCAGCCUGUCAGCAUGAGUAAACAAUACCCUUUCCAUUUUCAAUCGAUUCGCUGAAAUUUGCUUUAAAUGCCUACACAACACGUAUUCCUGACCAUUCUGCUGUGUUAAAGUGUCUUCAUGAUGGCGGUUGUUCUCUUAAAGCUCUAACAAACUUUUGAGGCAUUCAGAGAACGGCUGAAUGUAUGGUGAAAUUGAAUUACACACAACUGACUCACUAUCAGUUUACUAAUUAGUUUAUUUCUGAGGAUAGUUGGCAUCAGAUUUUAUAUAUUUAUUUAUUUAUCUUGGAAUAAACCCUCAAUGACCCAGAAUGUUGUUGCUUGCCUUGACAUCACUCCUAUACUUCCUUCACUGGCUCCCAGUUUGUUUUAGAGUUGAUUUUUAACUUUUAGUGUUCGUUUUUUUUUUUUUUUACUUUUCAUGGAAUACCUUCUUACUUAUGAAAUCUUUUACAAGGACAUCACCCAGACGAAGCUCUUUGGUCCUCUGACCAACAUCUUCAGGAAAUCUCCAGAUGAAAAUCCAAACACUGAGGUGACCAUCGUUUGAUGGUCCAGAACUAUGGAAAAAUGCCUGUUUUUUCAUGGUUAGAACUGCUUUUAGCACAUUGUUGCAGUGAGACACUUUAAUGUGUCCCUUUGUUCGUCUGGUUUCUAUUCUGUUCUCUAUUUUCAUUACUGCACUAAUGGAAAGCACUUUGGUUCCUGUGUUUAAACAAAUAAAAUCUGAUUGGUUGAUGUCAGACUCUUGAAGGCUGAACCCAAACACUCACCAAACCUUUCAGAUUUUAUGCUGUGUGCCAUUUUUACAACCAAAUCCGUUCAAAAAACAAUAAACGCAAAUUAAUCUUGUAACUAUAGUGUGAAAAAGUUAAGAUGCAUGGCACAGUAUACUUGUAUGUUUACGCAAAAAAUAAUUUUAAGAAUUUCCUGGUGUAUGACCUAGAUCAGGGGUCGGGAACGUAUGGCUCACGAGCCAGGUGUGGCUCUUUUGAUGAUUGCAUCUGGCUCGCAGAUAAAACAUAAAAUAUUUAAUUUAGAUGGAUUAAAACAAGUUUUUAUCCAUCCAUCGAUUUUCCACCGCUCAUGUCCUGUUCAGGCUUGCUAUUGGCUGCAGGAGCAGUCCAUUAUUUUAAUUGGAUGAUAAUAGCCUACGUUGGCUGUUGCUGGGUAAACAGGUAAAUGCCCCCUUUUGAAUCAGUCUGCUCGGGCAUUAGAUCAAAGCUAACCCUUCGACGAAGAAGAUGGCGAAAUGAAAAAAAGACGAGGAGUAUCGUACAUUUCAGGACGAAUGGACCGAAGAAUUUGCCUUUGUGGAGAGAGCAGGUUCUGCGGUGUGUCUAAUUUGCAAUGACAAAAUUGCGUCGAUGAAACGGUCGAAUGUAAAGCGGCACUUCGACACACGCCAUGCUACCUUUGCAUCAAAAUACCCGGCAGGAGACAGCAGAAAGAAAGCGUGCCAAGAGCUACUGAGCAGCACCAUGUUUGGAUCUGCGUAUGAAUGUGAGCGGUCAUUCUCACAUCUUAACAACAUCAAGUCCAACCUACGAUCACGUUUAACGGAUGAAAGCCUCAACGCUUGCAUGAAGCUUAACCUUACCAAGUACCAACCAGACUACAAAGCCAUCAGCAAAUUCAUGCAGCACCAGAAGUCACAUUAAUGGCCGCUCCCUACGACUCUGUCUGUCACAGAGCAGGAGGAACACAUGAGCUACUAGAGAGACCAACGUGAAAAAUCUGUUGCAGGUCCCUCGUUCUCCCUGGAACUCACCGACGGCUCGGACUCAGCUGCCUUCUAGCCACUGACGGUCCGGAGAUUUCCUGCCAAUCUGCCAGCGAACACAGGACAUAGUAACACAUGUGACUCAUGGUCACAGUGUGAAAGUGCCAAAAUAAAUUGAUAUAUGUAUAUGUAUAUAUAAAAAAACAUUGUGCAGUAUGAAUAAAAAUCACAAAGGAGGGAG